rnacentral:rRNA from 1 species
GAGUAAUACAUCGGAACAUGUCCUGUAGUGGGGGAUAGCCCGGCGAAAGCCGGAUUAAUACCGCAUACGAUCUACGGAUGAAAGCGGGGGACCUUCGGGCCUCGCGCUAUAGGGUUGGCCGAUGGCUGAUUAGCUAGUUGGUGGGGUAAAGGCCUACCAAGGCGACGAUCAGUAGCUGGUCUGAGAGGACGACCAGCCACACUGGGACUGAGACACGGCCCAGACUCCUACGGGAGGCAGCAGUGGGGAAUUUUGGACAAUGGGCGAAAGCCUGAUCCAGCAAUGCCGCGUGUGUGAAGAAGGCCUUCGGGUUGUAAAGCACUUUUGUCCGGAAAGAAAUCCUUGGCCCUAAUACGGUCGGGGGAUGACGGUACCGGAAGAAUAAGCACCGGCUAACUACGUGCCAGCAGCCGCGGUAAUACGUAGGGUGCGAGCGUUAAUCGGAAUUACUGGGCGUAAAGCGUGCGCAGGCGGUUUGCUAAGACCGAUGUGAAAUCCCCGGGCUCAACCUGGGAACUGCAUUGGUGACUGGCAGGCUAGAGUAUGGCAUAGGGGGGGUAAAAUUCCCCCUGUACCCCUGGAAAUGCGUAGUAGAUGUGGGAGGAAAUACCCGAUGGGCGAAAAGCCCCC